CCUACGGGAGGCAGCAGUGGGGAAUAUUGCGCAAUGGGCGAAAGCCUGACGCAGCGACGCCGCGUGAGGGAUGAAGGUCUUCGGAUCGUAAACCUCUGUCAGCAGGGAAGAACGGGCACUGUGCUAAUCAGCAGUGAAUUGACGGUACCUGCAAAGGAAGCACCGGCUAACUCCGUGCCAGCAGCCGCGGUAAUACGGAGGGUGAGAGCGUUAAUGGGAAUUCCGGGGCGUAAAGCUCGCGUAGGCGGUAUGUCAAGUCAAGGGUGAAAUCCCCGCGCUCAACCUGGGAACUGACUUUGAACCUGGCAAACUGGGGUGUGUGAGAGGAUAGUGGAAUUCCAGGUGUAGGGGUGAAAUCCGUAGAUAUCUGGAGGAACAUCAGUGGCGAAGGCGACUGUCUGGCACAUAACUGACGCUGAGGAGCGAAAGCGUGGGUAGCAAACAGGAUUAGAUACCCUUGUAGUC
rnacentral:rRNA from 1 species